UACGUAGGGUGCAAGCGUUGUCCGGAAUUAUUGGGCGUAAAGAGCUCGUAGGCGGUGUGUCGCGUCGGCCGUGAAAACCUGGGGCUCAACUCUGGGCGUGCGGUCGAUACGGGCAUCACUUGAGUUCGGCAGGGGAGACUGGAAUUCCUGGUGUAGCGGUGGAAUGCGCAGAUAUCAGGAGGAACACCGGUGGCGAAGGCGGGUCUCUGGGCCGUUACUGACGCUGAGGAGCGAAAGCGUGGGGAGCGAACAGG
rnacentral:rRNA from 1 species